UUGAUCCCUGGCUCAGAACGAACGCUGGCGGCAGGCUUAACACAUGCAAGUCGAGCGCCCCGCAAGGGGAGCGGCAGACGGGUGAGUAACGCGUGGGAAUCUACCCUUUUCUACGGAAUAACGCAUGGAAACGUGUGCUAAUACCGUAUGAGCCCUUCGGGGGAAAGAUUUAUCGGGAAAGGAUGAGCCCGCGUUGGAUUAGCUAGUUGGUGGGGUAAAGGCCUACCAAGGCGACGAUCCAUAGCUGGUCUGAGAGGAUGAUCAGCCACAUUGGGACUGAGACACGGCCCAAACUCCUACGGGAGGCAGCAGUGGGGAAUAUUGGACAAUGGGCGCAAGCCUGAUCCAGCCAUGCCGCGUGAGUGAUGAAGGCCCUAGGGUUGUAAAGCUCUUUCACCGGUGAAGAUAAUGACGGUAACCGGAGAAGAAGCCCCGGCUAA
rnacentral:rRNA from 1 species